CUUGAUGAUUGGGACUGCAAACGUCAAACGGACUCGCAUGUAAACGACAAACGGACUCCCGAUCUAGCGACAAAUGGACUUUCAAACAGGACGGCGAUGGGAUUCAAACGAAACAGAACCAAAGAUUAACACUGUCAUCGCCGCCCAAACAGGAGAUGCAGCUUUUCUUCAUUGUCAUAUGGAGCUCAGAGAGGAUCAUGGCGUAAGUUUCACUGAUGAACCCAAAGGCAAAAAAGAUGAUUGUCUAAAUAUUAGGCGUCCUAUAUAAUAUCUUGCGUAUGCAGAUGUCAACUGGCACAAACAGAACAUAACAUAACAUGACGAAAAUAAUAUUUCAGUUUUAGCAACCGAAAAGCAGCUAAGCGUAACCAACUAAAAAAAAACUCCUAAAACAAAAAAAAAUGCGGUACACGUAAAGUUUUUCCCUACAGUGGUAGAUGGGAAAUAAAGUUGCUAAUAAAUAAAACCCUUUUCUAGUAAUUUGUAUUUGGUUUCAGUUGCCAGACCACCACAGCGAACUAGCUGCAUAAAUUAGAAUAGAAUAUGUUACGAGUUACUUCAACGAAUGAUUUACAUUGCAAUAAAACUGUUUUUUUUCCUCUGUUUGUUGCAAGCAUUUAACAACUUUACUUGUUCGUCUGGUUAUUAUGUCAGAAACAUCCCAAUUCUGAAAGGUAGGUACAUCCCUAUUACUUUGUAGGUAUCUUGGGUACGUCGGCGAUAUUAGUAUAUUUUGUAGUGCGGACUCUAAAGUAUAUUCAAGGGACGAAAGGAUUCGUGUUACUUCAGCGGACAAUACCGAAAACAUUUGGACGUUGCUUAUAAAAUACAUAAGAAAAGACGACGAGGGUAUCUAUGAUUUCAGAUCACGACUAGGAAAUCCGCAUCCACCCAGUCUGUCGAAUUACGAAUUGUUGAACCACAAGCUG